AACGAACGCUGGCGGCAGGCCUAACACAUGCAAGUCGAACGCGUCCUCGGACGAGUGGCAGACGGGUGAGUAACGCGUGGGAACGUACCCUUUGGUUCGGAACAACUCCGGGAAACUGGAGCUAAUACCGGAUAAGCCCUUCGGGGGAAAGGAUUUAUCGCCAGAGGAUCGGCCCGCGUUAGAUUAGCUUGUUGGUGAGGUAAUGGCUCACCAAGGCUACGAUCUAUAGCUGGUCUGAGAGGAUGAUCAGCCACACUGGGACUGAGACACGGCCCAGACUCUUACGGGAGGCAGCAGUGGGGAAUCUUGGACAAUGGGCGAAAGCCUGAUCCAGCCAUGCCGCGUGAAUGAUGAAGGCCCUAGGGUUGUAAAUUACUUUCG
rnacentral:rRNA from 1 species